AUGGUCAAGCUAGAAACGGCUAACGGUGGAUACCUAGCCACGCAGAGGCGAAGAAGGACGUAGCAACCGACGAAACGCUCCGGGGAGCUGGAAGCAAGCAUUGAGCCGGAGGUAUCCGAAUGGGAGAACCCCAAAGUACGGUCUGCCGAACACAUAGGCAGAAACGAGCGAACCUGGCGAACUGAAACAUCUUAGUAGCCAGAGGAAAAGAAAGCAAACAGCGAUUCCCCAAGUAGCGGCGAGCGAAACGGGACCAGCCUAAACCACUGACUGCGGUGAGUGGGGUAGAGGGACAACCAUCAGGGAAGAAAGAGGAGUUAGACGAAGCAGCGAAAUCCUGCACCAGAGAAGGUGAAAGUCCUGUAGUCAAAAACCAAUCUCACCCGGUUGAAUCCCGAGUAGCGCGGGGUAAGUGAAGUCCCGCGUGAAUCAGCCAGGACCACCUGGUAAGGCUAAAUACUCCUGCGUGAGCGAUAGCGAAACAGUACCGUGAGGGAAAGGUGAAAAGAACCCCGGCGAGGGGAGUGAAAUAGAACCUGAAACCGUUAGCUGACAAGCAGUGGGAGCUCGAUUAAACGAGUGACCGCGUGCCUGUUGAAGAAUGAGCCGGCGAGUAGCAGGUCGUGGCAGGUUAAGGUGGAAAAAACCGCAGCCAAAGCGAAAGCGAGUCCGAAAAGGGCGUUAAGUCACGAUUUGCUGACCCGAACCCGGGUGAUCUAACCAUGUCCAGGAUGAAGCUUAGGUAAAACUAAGUGGAGGUCCGCACCGACCGACGUUGAAAAGUCGGCGGAUGAGGUGUGGUUAGGGGUGAAAUGCCAAUCGAACCCGGAGCUAGCUGGUUCUCCCCGAAAUGCGUUUAGGCGCAGCGGUUGUGUAGAAAGCUGUGGGGGUAAAGCACUGUUUCGCUGCGGGCUGCGAGAGCGGUACCAAAGCGAGGCAAACUCAGAAUACCACAGCCAGCAGCAGCCAGUGAGACGGUGGGGGAUAAGCUUCAUCGUCAAGAGGGAAACAGCCCAGACCACCAGCUAAGGUCCCGAAAUGGUCGCUAAGUGAUUAAGGAGGUGGGAGUGCCGUGACAACCAGGAGGUUUGCCUAGAAGCAGCAAUCCUUGAAAGAGUGCGUAAUAGCUCACUGGUCAAGCGCUCCUGCGCCGAAAAUGAACGGGGCUAAGUGACCUACCGAAGCUGUGGACUUGAAAUUCAAGUGGUAGGGGAGCGUUCCGCAUUAGGUAGAAGCACUAGCGGCAAGCAGGUGUGGACGAAGCGGAAGUGAGAAUGUCGGCUUGAGUAGCGAAAAUCUUGGUGAGAAUCCAAGACCCCGAAACCCUAAGGGUUCCUCCGGCAGGCUCGUCCGCGGAGGGUAAGUCAGGACCUAAGGCGAGGCUGAAGAGCGUAGUCGAUGGACAACGGGCGAAAAUUCCCGUACCGUUUUCAGUUUGGGGUGGGUGACGGAGAAGGUUGUCACCAGCCGGGUGAUGGUAGUCCCGGUGCAAGCGUACGAGGUGUAGAAGGACGGCGAAAACGUCCCGAGCUGAGUCGCGAGUCCGACCCGCUACGGCGGGGAAGUGGUAGAAAUCCGGCUUCCUAGAAAAGCCCUGACCCCGUGAAGCUGAGAAUGCCUGUACCCGAAACCGACACAGGUAGGGUGGUAGAGAAUACCGAGGGGCGCGAGAUAACUCUCUCUAAGGAACUCGGCAAAAUGACCCCGUAACUUCGGAAGAAGGGGUGCCUACCGAGAGGUAGGUCGCAGUGAAGAGGCCCAGGCGACUGUUUACCAAAAACACAGGUCUCCGCCAAGUCGUAAGACGCAGUAUGGAGGCUGACGCCUGCCCAGUGCCGGAAGGUUAAGGAAGUCGGUUAGGGGUAACCCGAAGCUGGCGACCGAAGCCCCGGUGAACGGCGGCCGUAACUAUAACGGUCCUAAGGUAGCGAAAUUCCUUGUCGGGUAAGUUCCGACCCGCACGAAAGGCGUAACGAUCUGGGCGCUGUCUCGGAGAGAGGCUCGGCGAAAUAGGAAUGUCUGUGAAGAUACGGACUACCUGCACCUGGACAGAAAGACCCUAUGAAGCUUUACUGUAGCCUGGAAUUGUGUUCGGGCCUGGCUUGCGCAGGAUAGGUGGGAGGCAGAGAAGGUGUCCUUGUGGGGACACUGGAGCCAACGGUGAGAUACCACUCUGGCGAGGCUAGAAUUCUAACCAUGACCCGUGAACCGGGAAUGGGACAGUUUCAGGUGGGCAGUUUGACUGGGGCGGUCGCCUCCAAAAAGGUAACGGAGGCGCGCAAAGGUUCCCUCAGGCUGGUUGGAAAUCAGCCCAAGUGAGUGUAAAGGCACAAGGGAGCUUGACUGCGAGAGUGACAACUCAAGCAGGUAGGAAACUAGGCCUUAGUGAUCCGACGGCGCUGCGUGGAAGGGCCGUCGCUCAACGGAUAAAAGUUACUCUAGGGAUAACAGGCUGAUCUCCCCCAAGAGUUCACAUCGACGGGGAGGUUUGGCACCUCGAUGUCGGCUCAUCGCCACCUGGGGCGGAAGUACGUCCCAAGGGUUGGGCUGUUCGCCCAUUAAAGCGGUACGUGAGCUGGGUUCAGAACGUCGUGAGACAGUUCGGUCCAUAUCCGGUGCAGGCGCAAGAGCAUUGAGAGGAGCCUUCCUUAGUACGAGAGGACCGGGAAGGACGCACCGCUGGUGUACCAGUUAUCUUGCCAAAGGUAGACGCUGGGUAGCCAAGUGCGGAGUGGAUAACCGCUGAAAGCAUCUAAGUGGGAAGCCCACCUCAAGAUGAUUGCUCUCAUGGAGUUAAUCCAGUAAGGUCACGGAAAGAACAUCCGUUGAUAGGCGCUAGGUGGAAGUCCAGUAAUGGCUGGAGCCGAGGCGUACUAACAGACCGAGGGCUUGACCUCU
rnacentral:rRNA from 1 species